rnacentral:rRNA from 1 species
UGCGUAGGCGGGUCUUUAAGUCAGGGGUGAAAUCCUGGAGCUCAACUCCAGAACUGCCUUUGAUACUGAGGAUCUUGAGUUCGGGAGAGGUGAGUGGAACUGCGAGUGUAGAGGUGAAAUUCGUAGAUAUUCGCAAGAACACCAGUGGCGAAGGCGGCUCACUGGCCCGAUACUGACGCUGAGGCAAGACUGGGGAGGCAACA